rnacentral:rRNA from 1 species
UACGGGGGGGGCAAGCGUUGUUCGGAAUUACUGGGCGUAAAGGGUUCGUAGGUGGCCAACUAAGUCAGACGUGAAAUCCCUCGGCUCAACCGGGGAACUGCGUCUGAUACUGGAUGGCUUGAGUUCGGGAGAGGGAUGCGGAAUUCCAGGUGUAGCGGUGAAAUGCGUAGAUAUCUGGAGGAACACCGGUGGCGAAGGCGGCAUCCUGGACCGACACUGACACUGAGGAGCGAAAGCCAGGGGAGCAAACGGG